rnacentral:rRNA from 1 species
UACGUAGGGGGCAAGCGUUGUCCGGAAUCAUUGGGCGUAAAGAGCGUGUAGGCGGCUCGGUAAGUCCGCUGUAAAAGUCCAGGGCUCAACCCUGGAAAGCCGGUGGAAACUGUCGAGCUCGAGUCCGGAAGAGGCGAGUGGAAUUCCUGGUGUAGCGGUGAAAUGCGCAGAUAUCAGGAGGAACACCAAUGGCGAAGGCAGCUCGCUGGGACGGUACUGACGCUGAGACGCGAAAGCGUGGGGAGCAAACAGG